rnacentral:rRNA from 1 species
CCCUUAGAUGUCCGAGGCCGCACGCGCGCUACAAUGGAUGAAUCAACGCGUCAUCCUGGCCCGAAAGGGUUGGGGAACCGCUGAACCUCAUCCGUGGUUGGGAUUGGGGUUUGUAAUUAUUCCCCAUGAACUAGGAAUUCCCAGUAAGCGCGAGUCAUAAGCUCGCGUUGAUUACGUCCCUGCCCUUUGUACACACCGCCCGUCGCUACUACCGAUUGGAUGGUUUAGUGAGAUCCUCGGAUUGGUCACGGCACGGUGGCAACACUGCGUCGGUGUGCCGAGAAGACGAUCAAACUUGAUCAUCUAGAGGAAGUAAAAGUCGUAACA